GCAUGCAGUUCCCAGAGAGGUUCAUGUCAAAUUUGUGAGAAGAGGCGAGAUGAAAUUCUUAGAAAACAUAGGAGUGGGGCACUGAUUUACAGGGGCAGGGAGAUAGCCAUUCUGAGGCAGAUUCCCAGACAGGUUUCUGAAGAAACUCCCAAAUUGUUACACCAGAUGGCAGCAUUGUCCCACCUUUGUCUGUGCUCCAAGUGAUACAGGGUUAGUUCCUAACUGAAUGUGAGACCACCAGAGAAUCUGAGGCCUGUAAGGUAGACUGGGAAAUUGAAAAACAUACAGGACAGCAGUAGUGACACACCACUGCUGUGCUGCUGCCAAGUAAACUGCAUGGAUUUGCAGGAGGUCUACCCUUCUUCUGGGAGGUUGGCAUGUCAGGACUGAUUCACACUUUCACCUACACUACUUCUUCGCUCGCAGCCUGACAAUAACAGGGAGGGGAUGGUUGGAAUGCAAGGGAAGGAGAAUGAUAUUCAAGCAUCCGUCAGCACCAUGGGACAUUGCUGGCAUCCCAAGGACACACCAAGCAGAUGCCCCAAUGUUGCAGACUGUUUCCUAUAACAAAAUGAACAUGUAUGAUUGGUGGACAUUUUGGACUGUGGGUCCAUAAGAAAAAGGGAGAAUUAACUACACUUGCUUUUGUGUGGUAAACCCCAGAGCUGGUUUUGCUUCUUCUGUGCCAAUGUGGUUUAUUUAGUAAAGUUUAUGCUUUUGAUAAAAAUAAUGUCCCAAAAGUUUCUUUUCCUGGAUUUGCA